AAGAGGAGCAACUACGCCGCACAAAGGAAAGCGGAGAAUCAGGUCCACACGCAACUCAGUGUGAGAAGAGAACAAAGAGCGUCUACGACAGUGUUUUUUUUUCGUUCCCUUUCGCCUAGCUUGAAACAAAUGUCCACCCCGUGAGAGACCUUGCGUGCCUCACCGAGGACUCCGUAGAGUUCAUUGGUGCUUUGCGCCUUGGGAUUCAUAACAAACAAUUUGACAACUCUAUCGAAAGCCGCCUUCUGCGCAGCGGCGAGCGUGUGGAUAAUCACCGUUUUGCCGCCGCCUGUCGGACCCACGAGCAUCGUCGCAUGUCGGCUCUCCAUCGUUUCAUACAGUUGAAUCACCUUGUUCACUUGCAGAUCGAACAAGUCCGCGUAUUUGGAGCGAAAUCCCUUGGAAGUGAGUUCCUGGCAGGAACCGGAAGCAGAAAGAACCGCCAAGUGGAGCCGGUCCGCCAGUAUAGGGCAAACGGGAAAGACCGGGAGCCAAACACAGGAACUGCGACAAGAAGUGGAUGGGCAGAUGUGCGGUGACGUGACUCCCUCGCACUCGAACCAGCCGGGAUGCAGAGAGACAACCAGAACGAUCGAGGCAGGCAGACACAGUCGACGAGAGACGCAGAAGAAGAAAGGAAAGACGAAGAAGAAGGACGAGAAGGAGAAAGGAAAAGAAAAGAAGAAGUGGGUACGUGUAGGUCACCACGGAGCGAGAAAGAUAUCAUCUCGAACACCAGACGUGGACCACCAUGAGACGUACAGUACCGAUGUGAAGAAUAAAACAACUUCCACGUAUGUCCAAGAACCAAGGCGAUGGCUUCAUCUACUUCUUUGUGUGUCUAUGCGUUAGUGUGUGACUCUUGUGUUGCCGACGCAACUGUUUUGCUCUCCAGAGCCGCCCCGCAAAUCGCCCCAGAAACGCAGCUCAUCCGUUCAAGCAACUCGUAGGGAAGGUUCGCUGUCUGAUGAACCUCUUCGCUCGGUUUCUCGCUCCACGAAUUGGCGGGCAUUUUAGAUCUCACCUCCUCGACUGCCUGCUUCAGCUGGCUGUUUCCGCCCUGCGGACACUCGAGGCCGGGGAAGAGGUCUCCGAGGAGGCCGAGGAAGAGCGGGACGUCUUGUUUGACGAGCUUCGGAAUGUUCAUGUCGCGCAGAGCUCGCAUGAGGAUCACUUCUUCUGGCAACUCGGGACUCGCGCUCCGAAACGCGCCGGCCGUGACGAGAGCCGCCUUCAAGGCGCGAAGGGCGAAGUCGUAAAAGUGCUGAAAGAAAACUCCAGAACCGCUGCUUUGUUGGGGUAUGUGUCUUGGCGUUUCAGAGAAAUCGCGCGAACCAUGUAUAACGUAUUCGAUUCAUCGAACAACAGAGAAGCCU
rnacentral:lncRNA from 1 species